rnacentral:rRNA from 1 species
UAGAGGAAGUAAAAGUCGUAACAAGGUUUCCGUAGGUGAACCUGCGGAAGGAUCAUUACAAGUGAGGCUACCGAACGCUGGAAACAGCGGUUAGGAGCUUACACCCACCCGUGUUUACAUACUAUUGUUGCUUUGGCGGGCCGUGRCCUCCACUGCGGGCUCUGCUCGUGUGUGCCCGCCAGAGGACCAAACUCUGAAUGUUAGUGAUGUCUGAGUACUAUCUAAUAGUUAAAACUUUCAACAACGGAUCUCUUGGUUCUGGCAUCGAUGAAGAACGCAGCGAAAUGCGAUAAGUAAUGUGAAUUGCAGAAUUCAGUGAAUCAUCGAAUCUUUGAACGCACAUUGCGCCCUGUGGUAUUCCGCAGGGCAUGCCUGUUCGAGCGUCAUUUAACCACUCACGCCUGGCGUGGUAUUGGGGYACGYGGUCUCGCGGCCCUCAAAAUYAGUGGCGGYGCCGGUGGGCUCUAAGCGUAGUACAUACUCCCGCUAUAGAGUUCCCCCGGUGGCUCGCCAGAACCCCCAAUUUUUUACAGGUUGACCUCGGAUCAGGUAGGGAUACCCGCUGAACUUAAGCAUAUCAU